UUAGAGUUUGAUCAUGGCUCAGGACGAACGCUGGCGGCGUGCUUAACACAUGCAAGUGGAGCGACGAACCAGGGCUUGCCCUGGGGCAGAGCCGCGAACGGGUGAGUAACACGUGGGUUACCUGCCUCGAUGACCGGGACAACCCGAGGAAACUCGGGCUAAUACCGGAUGUGCCCGCAAGGGGAAAGGAAGCUUCGGCCUCCGCAUCGAGAUGGGCCCGCGGCCCAUUAGCUUGUUGGUGAGGUAACGGCUCACCAAGGCUUCGAUGGGUAGCUGGUCUGAGAGGACGAUCAGCCACACUGGGACUGAGACACGGCCCAGACUCCUACGGGAGGCAGCAGUGGGGAAUUUUGGACAAUGGGCGCAAGCCUGAUCCAGCAAUGCCGCGUGAGUGAAGAAGGCCUUCGGGUUGUAAAGCUCUUUUGUCAGGGAAGAAACGGGACUGGCUAAUAUCUGGUCCUAAUGACGGUACCUGAAGAAUAAGCACCGGCUAACUACGUGCCAGCAGCCGCGGUAACGCC
rnacentral:rRNA from 1 species